UGGGGAAUUUUGGACAAUGGGCGAAAGCCUGAUCCAGCAAUGCCGCGUGUGUGAAGAAGGCCUUCGGGUUGUAAAGCACUUUUGUCCGGAAAGAAAUCCUUGGCUCUAAUACAGUCGGGGGAUGACGGUACCGGAAGAAUAAGCACCGGCUAACUACGUGCCAGCAGCCGCGGUAAUACGUAGGGUGCAAGCGUUAAUCGGAAUUGCUGGGCGUAAAGCGUGCGCAGGCGGUUUGCUAAGACCGAUGUGAAAUCCCCGGGCUCAACCUGGGGAACUGCAUUGGUGACUGGCAGGCUAGAGUAUGGCAGAGGGGGGUAGAAUUCCACGUGUAGCAGUGAAAUGCGUAGAGAUGUGGAGGAAUACCGAUGGCGAAGGCAGCCCCCUGGGCCAAUACUGACGCUCAUGCACGAAAAGCGUGGGGAGCAAACAGGAUUAGAUACCCUGGUAGUCCACGCCCU
rnacentral:rRNA from 1 species